UGGCGAUGAGGAGACAAUUACUGUGUUGAAUAAUGAUGAUGUUUUUAUUUAUACGCUAUUCUGAGCCAGCA
ensembl:snoRNA